rnacentral:rRNA from 1 species
AUUGAACGCUGGCGGCAGGCCUAACACAUGCAAGUCGAGCGGAUGAAGGGGGCUUGCUCCUGGAUUCAGCGGCGGACGGGUGAGUAAUGCGCAGGAAUCUACCUAGUAGUGGGGGAUAACGUUUCGAAAGGGACGCUAAUACCGCAUACGUUCUGAGGAAGAAAGCAGGGGAUCGUAAGACCUUGCGCUAUUAGAUGAGCUUGCGUCCGAUUAGCUAGUUGGUGGGGUAAAGGCCUACCAAGGCGACGAUCGGUAACUGGUCUGAGAGGAUGAUCAGUCACACUGGAACUGAGACACGGUCCAGACUCCUACGGGAGGCAGCAGUGGGGAAUUUUGGACAAUGGGCGCAAGCCUGAUCCAGCAAUGCCGCGUGCAGGAUGAAGGCCUUCGGUUGUAAUAUCUUUAUCUGGAGAAACUACCUCUAUUCUUAGUAGGCCUGACGGUACCGAGAGGAAUAAGACACCGGCUAACUCCGUGCCAGCCGCCGCGGUAAACCG